rnacentral:rRNA from 1 species
UAGGGAAUCUUCGGCAAUGGACGAAAGUCCGACCGAGCAACGCCGCGUGAGUGAAGAAGGUUUUCGGAUCGUAAAACUCUGUUGUUAGAGAAGAACAAGGACGUUAGUAACUGAACGUCCCCUGACGGUAUCUAACCAGAAAGCCACGGCUAACUACGUGCCAGCAGCCGCGGUAAUACGUAGGUGGCAAGCGUUGUCCGGAUUUAUUGGGCGUAAAGCGAGCGCAGGCGGUUUCUUAAGUCUGAUGUGAAAGCCCCCGGCUCAACCGGGGAGGGUCAUUGGAAACUGGGAGACUUGAGUGCAGAAGAGGAGAGUGGAAUUCCAUGUGUAGCGGUGAAAUGCGUAGAUAUAUGGGGGAACACCAGUGGCGAAGGCGGCUCUCUGGUCUGUAACUGACGCUGAGGCUCGAAAGCGUGGGGAGCAAACAGG